CGUAGGGGGCUAGCGUUGUCCGGAAUCAUUGGGCGUAAAGAGCGCGUAGGCGGCCAGAUAAGUCCGGUGUGAAAGUCACAGGCUCAACCUGUGAAUGCCGCUGGAAACUGUCUGGCUAGAGUCCGGAAGGGGCGAGUGGAAUUCCUGGUGUAGCGGUGAAAUGCGCAGAUAUCAGGAGGAACACCAAUGGCGAAGGCAGCUCGCUGGGACGGUACUGACGCUGAGGCGCGAAAGCGUGGGAGCAAACAGGAUU
rnacentral:rRNA from 1 species